ACUCCUACGGGAGGCAGCAGUGGGGAAUAUUGCACAAUGGGCGCAAGCCUGAUGCAGCCAUGCCGCGUGUAUGAAGAAGGCCUUCGGGUUGUAAAGUACUUUCAGCGGGGAGGAAGGCGAUAAGGUUAAUAACCUUGUUGAUUGACGUUACCCGCAGAAGAAGCACCGGCUAACUCCGUGCCAGCAGCCGCGGUAAUACGGAGGGUGCAAGCGUUAAUCGGAAUUACUGGGCGUAAAGCGCACGCAGGCGGUCUGUCAAGUCGGAUGUGAAAUCCCCGGGCUCAACCUGGGAACUGCAUUCGAAACUGGCAGGCUAGAGUCUUGUAGAGGGGGGUAGAAUUCCAGGUGUAGCGGUGAAAUGCGUAGAGAUCUGGAGGAAUACCGGUGGCGAAGGCGGCCCCCUGGACAAAGACUGACGCUCAGGUGCGAAAGCGUGGGGAGCAAACAGGAUUAGAAACCCGUGUAGUCCCAUGA
rnacentral:rRNA from 1 species